UACCUCUGGUGUACCAGUUGUCCUGCCAAGGGCAUGGCUGGGUAGCUAUGUACGGAAUGGAUAAGCGCUGAAAGCAUCUAAGCGCGAAGCCAACUUCAAGAUAAGAUUUCCCACCGCAAGGGUAAGACUCCAGAAAGACUAUCUGGUUGAUAGGUCGAAGGUGUAAGUGCAGCAAUGUAUUUAGCUUAUCGAUACUAAUAGGUCGAGGACUUGACCAAU
rnacentral:rRNA from 1 species